rnacentral:rRNA from 1 species
UACGUAGGCAGCAAGCGUUGUUCGGAGUUACUGGGCGUAAAGGGUGUGUAGGCGGUUCUUUAAGUUUGGUGUGAAAUCUCCCGGCUCAACUGGGAGGGUGCGCCGAAUACUGAGGGACUAGAGUACGGGAGAGGAAAGUGGAAUUCCUGGUGUAGCGGUGAAAUGCGUAGAUAUCAGGAGGAACACCGGUGGUGUAGACGGCUUUCUGGACCGUAACUGACGCUGAGACACGAAAGCGUGGGUAGCAAACAGG